rnacentral:rRNA from 1 species
AGAGUUUGAUCAUGGCUCAGGAUAAACGCUGGCGGCGUGCCUAACACAUGCAAGUCGAACGCCCUUAGCAAUAAGGGAGUGGCGGACGGGUGAGGAACACGUGGAUAACCUACCUUGGGGUGAGGAAUACCGGCGAGAAAUCGCCGACAAUACCGCAUACGCUUCGCAAGAAGCAAAGCCUCGCAAGAGGCGCCACAAGA